UACGGAGGGUGCAAGCGUUAUCCGGAUUCACUGGGUUUAAAGGGUGCGUAGGUGGGUUGGUAAGUCAGUGGUGAAAUCCCCGAGCUUAACUUGGGAACUGCCAUUGAUACUAUCAAUCUUGAAUACUGUGGAGGUCAGCGGAACAUGUCAUGUAGCGGUGAAAUGCUUAGAUAUGACAUAGAACACCAAUUGCGAAGGCAGCUGGCUACACAAAUAUUGACACUGAGGCACGAAAGCGUGGGGAUCAAACAGG
rnacentral:rRNA from 1 species